CCUACGGGUGGCUGCAGUGGGGAAUAUUGGACAAUGGGGGCAACCCUGAUCCAGCCAUGCCGCGUGUGUGAAGAAGGCCCUCGGGUUGUAAAGCACUUUCAGUGAGGAAGAACGCCUGGUGGUUAAUACCCAUCAGGAAAGACAUCACUCACAGAAGAAGCACCGGCUAACUCCGUGCCAGCAGCCGCGGUAAUACGGAGGGUGCGAGCGUUAAUCGGAAUUACUGGGCGUAAAGCGCGCGUAGGUGGCUUGAUAAGCCGGUUCUGAAAGCCCCGGGCUCAACCUGGGAACGGCAUCCGGAACUGUCAAGCUAGAGUGCAGGAGAGGAAGGUAGAAUUCCCGGUGUAGCGGUGAAAUGCGUAGAGAUCGGGAGGAAUACCAGUGGCGAAGGCGGCCUUCUGGACUGACACUGACACUGAGGUGCGAAAGCGUGGGUAGCAAACAGGAUUAGAUACCCUUGUAGUC
rnacentral:rRNA from 1 species